GUGUGUAACAACUCACCUGCCGAAUGAAUUAGCCCUGAAAAUGGAUGGCGCUGAAGCGGGUAGCCGACACUAUGCCGUCUGAGCAAAAAUACGUAAAAUUGAGUUGAAUUGACGAGAUUCUGAAAAUUGUGUGAUUGUGUGAAAUUGAGUUGAAUUGACGAGAUUUUGAAAAUUGUGUGAUUGUGUGAAACUGAGUUGAAUUGACGAGAUUUUGAAAAUGAAAAGACAGAUGAGUAGGAGGGAACGUGGCGGUCGUAUUGAAGCGUAUGCGCAAGCAUGCGUGGAACGGCCGCUAGUGCAGAUCUUGGUGGUAGUAGCAAAUAUUCAAAUGAGAACCUUGAAGGGCGAAGCGGGGAAGGGUUCCACGCGAACAUUGAUUGGGCGUGGGUGAGUCGUUCCUAAGCCAAAUGGUAAUUGAUUAGACAAAAUGCGCGAAAGGGAAGCAGGUUGAUAUUCCUGCACACGGAUGUGGAUAUGCGGUGACGCACACUGGGGCGGUGAAGUCGUCGGUUGCACUGGGCAGAGAUUUCUUUUCUGUUUGACGGAGCCUGACUGUACGCUAUGGAAUCCGCUUGUCGGGAGAAAUAGGUAUGUCACGGCAAAGCGCCGGGUUUUUUUUCUGGCGUCCAGGUUGCGACUGGCGGACCUUGAAAAACUGUCUGCUGGCAAAACAGAGAUGUUUUGUGUGAAAAAUUCCACGCCGUAACGUACCCAUAACCGCAUCAGGUCCCCAAGGUGAACAGCCUCUGCUCGAUAUGAACAAUGCAGGUGAGGGAAGUCGGCAAAUUGGACCCGUAACUUUGGGAAAAGGGUUGGCUCUAGUGCUGCGUAGGAGUGGUUGCUGGUUGCAGCUGCAGAAUCUGGCUUUUUUUCUGNGAGGGCUGCGGGCUGCGCGCGCGCACGCUUUUGAGCUUUUCUUGAGCGUGUUUGUGUGUGUGUGCCUGCGCCUUUGUGCGGGAUUUUGGCUGGAAUUUUGCGGUUCCUGGCGACGCCUACAGCAUGCAGCAAACUAGAACUGCAACGGACAAAGGGAAUCCGACUGUUUAAUUAAAACAAAGCAU
rnacentral:rRNA from 1 species